rnacentral:rRNA from 1 species
AUGGUUACAUCAGACACAGAACAGGAACAUAACACAGCCACGAUGGGCGCAGAGGUUGGUGUCCUCAAAGAGCCCGACGAGGUAGGCCUCGGCCGCCUCCUGCAGCGCGGAGACGGCGGAGCUCUGGAAGCGGAGGUCGGUCUUGAAGUCCUGCGCGAUCUCCCGCACCAGGCGCUGGAAGGGGAGCUUGCGGAUCAGCAGCUCCGUGCUCUUCUGGUACUUGCGGAUCUCGCGGAGCGCGACGGUGCCGGGGCGGAAGCGGUGGGGCUUCUUCACGCCGCCGGUGGCCGGCGCGGACUUGCGCGCCGCCUUGGUCGCCAGCUGCUUCCGCGGCGCCUUGCCGCCGGUGGACUUCCUCGCCGUCUGCUUCGUGCGGGCCUUUUCGGAGGGAAGGUGGGUUUGGAGCGUUGGAUUUGGUAG